rnacentral:misc_RNA from 1 species
GAUGAAGAACGUAGCGAAAUGCGAUAAGUAAUGUGAAUUGCAGAAUUCAGUGAAUCAUCGAAUCUUUGAACGCACCUUGCACUCCUUGGUAUUCCGAGGAGUACGCCUGUUCGAGUGUUAUGAAGCUCUCAAAACGCAAUUGGUUUAAAACCUGAUUGUUGUUUUGGAUUUGAACUUUGCCGUGUUAUAACGGCUGGUUUUAAAAGUAUUAGCUGGUACUAGAACGAAUUGGUUCUACUCAACGUGAUAAUUAUCUGAUCGUUGAGGACAUUCCUUUCACGAGGAAUGGCCAUAGUAAAUUCAAUGGACUGCUUCUAAUCUGGCUUUAAUUCUUUAUUGGAUUAACCACUUUUCAAAUCUGACCUCGAAUCAGGUGGGACUACCCGCUGAACUUAAGCAUAUCAAUAAGCGGAGGA